rnacentral:rRNA from 1 species
AUUGAACGCUGGCGGCAGGCCUAACACAUGCAAGUCGAGCGGAUGAAGGGAGCUUGCUCCUGGAUUCAGCGGCGGACGGGUGAGUAAUGCCUAGGAAUCUGCCUGGUAGUGGGGGAUAACGUCCGGAAACGGGCGCUAAUACCGCAUACGUCCUGAGGGAGAAAGUGGGGGAUCUUCGGACCUCACGCUAUCAGAUGAGCCUAGGUCGGAUUAGCUAGUUGGUGGGGUAAAGGCCUACCAAGGGGACGAUCCGUAACUGGUCUGAGAGGAUGAUCAGGCACACUGGAAAUGAGACACGGGCCAGACUCCUACGGGAGGCAGCAGUGGGGAAUAUUGGACAGUGGGCGAAAGCCUAAUCCAGCCAUGCCGCGUGUGUGAAGAAGGUCUUCGGAUGGUAAAGCACUUUAAGUUGGGAGGAAGGGCAGUAAGUUAAUACCUUGCUGUUUUGACGUUACCAACAGAAUAAGCACCGGCUAACUUCGU